UUUAAUUAAUAAUGCAUCGUUUCAUGAAUAUUUCGGUUUUUAAAUUUACAGAGCAUUUGUUACACGCUCGUCGACCAGCGAGUGGAUGUGGCGAUAAGAAGAAUCAAUGUCCUAAUAAAGAUCCUUGCGCUAAUCAAGAUGGUUGUGCUAAUCAAGAUGGUUGUGGCAAUCAAGAUCCUUGCGGCAAUCAAGAUCCUUGUCCUGUUGUAGAUCCUUGUGCCAUCAAAGAUCUAUGCGGACAGCAAAACAAAUGCCCAAAGAAAGAUUCACGUGGCAAGCAAAACAAAUGCCCAAAAAGGGAUCCAUGUGGAAAGCAAAACCAAUGUGCCAAUCAAGAUCCAUGUGCACAGAACAAUCAGUGCGGAAAUAACAAUCAAGGCGGAAACCAAGGCGGACAGGACUCUAAGAAGCACCAGUGCGCUAACAAAAAAGAAAAAACGGGUCCACGUUGCAAGGACGGUCAGGGUGGCAAGGAUGGCAAAGAUGGCAAAGGUGCCAAAGCUAAAUAGUGAAAUCACCAAUGUAAUACUGAUUGGGUGAGGCAAAUCAGUAUCUGCAUUGCUAUCGACGACUGGCGCCAUCUUUUACUAAAAGUAGUUCCCAUAAUGGAUCACAAAAAAUCCAAUAGUGGGAAGAAGCAAGAUGAAUCAGUUUGGGUUUACUGCUCGGCUGAGCACACACUGAGAUCAUAAAAGCGAAACGCUCAGCAGACAUUAUAAAGCCAUAAAGCAACAAGUAAAAUCGGCGCAAAAAUAGCUGGCCAGCAGGGAGUUUUUACGAUGCUGCGCCCUCAUU
rnacentral:sRNA from 1 species